rnacentral:rRNA from 1 species
AACCAACAGGGAUUGCCUCAGUAACGGCGAGUGAAGCGGCAAAAGCUCAAAUUUUAAAGCUGACAUCUUCGGUGUCCGCGUUGUAAUUUUGUGAGGCAUCUCCGGGUAGGGCGCCGGCCUAAGUUCCUUGGAACAGGACGUCACAGAGGGUGAGAAUCCCGUGCUUGGCUGGCUGUCCCCGUCCAUGUGAGGUGUCUUCGACGAGUCGAGUUGUUUGGGAAUGCAGCUCAAAAUGGGUGGUAAAUUUCAUCUAAAGCUAAAUAUUGGUGGGAGACCGAUAGCGCACAAGUAGAGUGAUCGAAAGAUGAAAAGCACUUUGAAAAUAGAGUUAAAAAGUACGUGAAAUUGUUGAAAGGGAAGCGCUUGAGAUCAGACUUCGGUAAGGGGUGAUCAGCCGUCCUUCUGGGCGGUGCACUUGCCCCCCUCCGGGCCAGCAUCGGUUGAGGCGGCGGGAUAAAGGUCCCGGGAAUGUGGCUCCUUCACGGGAGUGUUAUAGCCCGGGUGAAUGCCGCCAGCUUCGACCGAGGACCGCACCCGCAAGGGUUAGGAUGCUUGGCAUAAUGGUCUUCAGCGA